CCCAGACUCCUACGGGAGGCAGCAGUGGGGAAUAUUGCGCAAUGGGCGAAAGCCUGACGCAGCGACGCCGCGUGCGGGAUGAAGGCCUUCGGGUUGUAAACCGCUUUCAGCAGGGACGAAGCGAAAGUGACGGUACCUGCAGAAGAAGCACCGGCUAACUACGUGCCAGCAGCCGCGGUAAUACGUAGGGUGCAAGCGUUGUCCGGAUUUAUUGGGCGUAAAGAGCUCGUAGGCGGUCUGUCGCGUCGGAUGUGAAAACCCAGGGCUCAACCCUGGGCCUGCAUUCGAUACGGGCAGACUAGAGUAUGGCAGGGGAGACUGGAAUUCCUGGUGUAGCGGUGAAAUGCGCAGAUAUCAGGAGGAACACCGGUGGCGAAGGCGGGUCUCUGGGCCAAAACUGACGCUGAGGAGCGAAAGCGUGGGGAGCGAACAGGAUUAGAUACCCUGGUAGUCCACGCCGUAAACGUUGGGCGCUAGGUGUAGGGGACCUUCCACGUCCUCUGUGCCGCAGCUAACGCAUUAAGCGCCCCGCCUGGGGAGUACGGCCGCAAGGCUAAAACUCAAAGGAAUUGACGGGGGCCCGCACAAGCGGCGGAGCAUGUGGCUUAAUUCGAUGCAACGCGAAGAACCUUACCUGGGUUUGACAUGUACGGAAAUCCGGCAGAGACGUCGGGUCCGCAAGGGUCGUACACAGGUGGUGCAUGGUUGUCGUCAGCUCGUGUCGUGAGAUGUUGGGUUAAGUCCCGCAACGAGCGCAACCCUCGUCCUAUGUUGCCAGCGAGUAAUGUCGGGGACUCAUAGGAGACUGCCGGGGUCAACUCGGAGGAAGGUGGGGAUGAAGUCAAAUCAUCAUGCCCCUUAAGUCCAGGGCUGCACACAUGCUACAAUGGCCGGGUACAA
rnacentral:rRNA from 1 species